rnacentral:rRNA from 1 species
GUAGUUAGCCGGGGCUUUCUAAUGGGGUACCGUCAUUUUUUCGUCCCCCACAACAGAGGUUUACAAUCCGAAAACCUUCUUCCCUCACGCGGCGUUGCUGGGUCAGGGUUUCCCCCAUUGCCCAAUAUUCCCCACUGCUGCCUCCCGUAGGAGUCUGGACCGUGUCUCAGUUCCAGUGUGGCCGAUCACCCUCUCAGGUCGGCUACCGAUCGUUGACUUGGUGGGCCGUUACCCCGCAACUAUCUAAUCGGACGCGAGCUCAUCUUAUACCGGAUUACUCCUUUGACCCCUGCACCAUGUGGUGCUGUGGUCUUAUGCGGUAUUAGUGAACCUUUCGGUUCGUUAUCCCCCUGUAUAAGGCAGAUUGCUCACGCGUUACUCACCCGUCCGCCGCUAGAAACAUCAAUAGCAAGCUACCAAUGUUCCCCGCUCGACUUGCAUGUGUUAGGCACGCCGCCAGCGUUCGUCCUGAGCCAUGAUCAAACUCUGA